rnacentral:rRNA from 1 species
AGGACGAACGCUGGCGGCGUGCUUAAUACAUGCAAGUCGAGCGAGAAGCCACCGCUCCGUAAGGAGUGGUGGUGGAAAGCGGCGAACGGGUGAGUAACACGUGGGUAAUGUGCCCUGAACAUCGGGAUAACAGCGGGAAACCGCUGCUAAUACCGAAUAACCCUGCAAUGUCGCAUGACGAAGCAGGCAAAGUUCCGGCGGUUCAGGAUCAGCCCGCGGUGUAUCAGCUUGUUGGUGGGGUAACGGCCUACCAAGGCUUUGACGCAUAGCUGGCGUGAGAGCGCGACCAGCCACACUGGGACUGACGACACGGCCCAGACUCCGUACGGGAGGCAGCAGUAGGGAAUCUUGCGCAAGUGGGACGAAAGCCUGACGCAGCGACGCCGCGUGAGGAUGAAUGCCGUU